rnacentral:lncRNA from 1 species
AUUUGCAUCGUUGUACUAAUUUCUGUUGCACAGCAAAGUGACUUAGAUAUACACAUUUUCUUAUGUUACUUUCCAUUAUGGUUUAUCCCAGGUGAUUGGAUAGAGUUCCCUAUGCUAUAGAGUAGGACUCAUUGUUUAUCCAUUCUAAAUGCAAUAGUUUGCAUCUACCAACCCCAAACUUCCACUCCAUCCCUCUCUUGCCCUCCUCCCCCUUGGCAACCACAAGUCUGUUCUCUUUGUCUGUGGGUCUGUUUCUGUUUUGUAGAUAGGUCCCGUUGUGCCAUAUUUUAGAGUCGACAGAGAAGAGAUAUCAUAUUCCACCAGUAUGUUCUUAAUAAUAGGACUUUGCUGACUCCUGAAUCAUCAUUUCAGGAGGGCUCCUUGAGAAAUGAUGUCCUUGUAGUGCCCAAAACAGGCUGCUCUUAAUUUCUGUCACCAAGAUAAGGUUUUCUGCUUCUUCAGGGCAACUACCUCCAAUUUUUAAUGCAUGCAAACAACAAAUAUUUACUAGGACUUAACCUGAGCCAUGUGCAGCCCCUGACAUCCUGAAGCCCACAGUGGGAAGCAGACAGUGAUUAAACAGCCACACAGGCACGAAAUUACAAACUGUGAUAAGUGCAAUGGAGGAAAUGGAGAUGGAACAGGGAAAGAGACUUAAUCCAAAGGGCUCCAUGCUCCCCUGAGGAAGAGUCCCUUGAGCCGAGAUCUGCAGGGUAAGUAAGAAACUAAAGGGCAGGCGGGGAGAGGGAAGAGAUGCUUCUCGGAGUUCCCUGGUGGCUCAACAGGUUAAGGAUACAGCAUUGUCACUGCAGUGGCUCAGGUUGCUGCUAGGGCAUGGGUUUGAUCCCUGGCUUGGGAAUUUCUGCAUGCCACAGGUGCAGCCAAAAAACAAUAAAUAAAGAGAGAGUUUUGCGGAACAUGGAAAGGAAUCUCUGGAAGGAAUGGACAGGACUUGGGAGCUGCUUUCAAUCCCACUAAGGUUUUCAUCUGCUGUUGCCUACUCUGACCACAGCUCCCAGGAGAUAAGCCAUCCCACUUCACACAGCCC